GUGUCCUUCCUCCCAGCCACAGUUCAGGAGGAGGAAGUCGUGUUUACUAAAGCCACAGUGUUUUUCUUGUGUUGUUUCAGAGUGGCAUGGGUGAUUCAGAGGCUCUUACUCAGGUGGUGCUGCCCGUGGCCUUCCAGUUCAACCCACAGCUGGUCCUGGUCACUGCCAGCCUUGAUGUUGGUGCGGGGACCCACUUGGAGGUUGCUGCGUGAGUCCCGAUUGCUUUGGACAUAUGAUGGCCCUUCUGCCUGGCCUGGCCGAGGGCCGCAUGGUUCUGGCACUGGAGGGCGGCUUCAACCUCACCACCAUCAGCUGCUGCAUGACGCUGUGUGCCAAGGCCUUGCUGGGGGAUCCGCUGCCCCCCCCUUGAGCCCCAGCUGGUGCCCAACAAGAGUGCCGUGCAGACCAUCAAUGACGUCAUCCGUACCCACAGCCGCUACUGGCCGGCGCUCUGCUUCAAGAAAGAAGAAGAAGAAAAGAAGAGAAGGAGAGGGUAUAUGUCUGUGUGUGUGUUAUAUGGACAAAAUUUAAACUGAUUUCUUUCAACAUAUAUUUUAUUAUUAUUAUUGAAAGACAAACUUUUCUUCUUCACUUCCUCCUUCUUCUUC